AGUUGCGAUCAUACCAGCAUUAAUGCACCAGAUCCCAUCAGAACUCCGUAGUGAAGCGGACAUGGGCGAGAGUAGUACUAGGAUGGGUGACUUCCUGGGGAGUCCUCGUGUUGCUCUUC
rnacentral:rRNA from 1 species